UACGUAGGGUCCGAGCGUUGUCCGGAAUUAUUGGGCGUAAAGAGCUCGUAGGCGGUCUGUCGCGUCGGCUGUGAAAACUCGGGGCUUAACUCCGGGCCUGCAGUGGGUACGGGCAGACUAGAGUGCGGUAGGGGAGACUGGAAUUCCUGGUGUAGCGGUGAAAUGCGUAGAUAUGUGGAGGAACACCGAUGGCGAAGGCAGCCCCCCUGGGCUAACACUGACGCUCAUGCACGAAAGCGUGGGGAGCAAACAGG
rnacentral:rRNA from 1 species